rnacentral:rRNA from 1 species
AAGGACGUGAAAUACGAAAUAACAAGGG